GAUGAAGAACGCAGCAAAAUGCGAUAAGUAAUGUGAAUUGCAGAAUUCAGUGAAUCAUCGAAUCUUUGAACGCACAUUGCGCCCGCCAGUAUUCUGGCAUGCCUGUUCGAGCGUCAUUUCAACCCUCAAGCACAGCUUGGUGUUGGGACUCGCGUUAAUUCGCGUUCCUCAAAUUGAUUGGCGGUCACGUCGAGCUUCCAUAGCGUAGUAGUAAAACCCUCGUUACUGGUAAUCGUCGCGGCCACGCCGUUAAACCCCAACUUCUGAAUGUUGACCUCGGAUCAGGUAGGAAUACCCGCUGAACUUAAGCAUAUCAAUAAGCGGAGGA
rnacentral:misc_RNA from 1 species